AUUGAACGCUGGCGGCAUGCCUUACACAUGCAAGUCGAACGGCAGCACGGGAGCAAUCCUGGUGGCGAGUGGCGAACGGGUGAGUAAUAUAUCGGAACGUGCCCAGUCGUGGGGGAUAACGUAGCGAAAGCUACGCUAAUACCGCAUACGAUCUAUGGAUGAAAGCGGGGGAUCGCAAGACCUCGCGCGAUUGGAGCGGCCGAUAUCAGAUUAGGUAGUUGGUGAGGUAAAGGCGCACCAAGCCGACGAUCUGUAGCUGGUCUGAGAGGACGACCAGCCACACUGGGACUGAGACACGGCCCAGACUCCUACGGGAGGCAGCAGUGGGGAAUUUUGGACAAUGGGCGCAAGCCUGAUCCAGCAAUGCCGCGUGCAGGAUGAAGGCCUUCGGGUUGUAAACUGCUUUUGUACGGAACGAAACGGCGAGCUCUAAUACAGUUUGCUAAUGACGGUACCGUAAGAAUAAGCACCGGCUAACUACGUGCCAGCAGCCGCUGUAA
rnacentral:rRNA from 1 species